rnacentral:rRNA from 1 species
GAUGAACGCUAGCGGCAGGCUUAAUACAUGCAAGUCGAGGGGCAGCAUGGUGUAGCAAUACACUGAUGGCGACCGGCAAACGGGUGCGGAACACGUACGCAACUUACCCAAAACUGGGGAAUAGCACGGGGAAACCCGGAUUAAUACCUCGUAACAUAAUGAAGUGGCAUCACUUUAUUAUUAUAGCUCCGGCGGUUUUGGAUGGGCGUGCGCCUGAUUAGGUAGUUGGCGGGGUAACGGCCCACCAAGCCUACGAUCAGUAACUGGUGUGAGAGCACGACCAGUCACACGGGCACUGAGACACGGGCCCGACUCCUACGGGAGGCAGCAGUAAGGAAUAUUGGUCAAUGGACGCAAGUCUGAACCAGCCAUGCCGCGUGAAGGAUGAAGGUCCUCUGGAUUGUAAACUUCUUUUAUAUGGGAAGAAAUCCAUCUUUUCUUGGGUGGUUGACGGUACCAUAGGAAUAAGCACCGGCUAACUCCGUGCCAGCCGCCGCGGUAAAAC